AACGUAGGUGGCGAGCGUUAUCCGGGUUUACUGGGCGUAAAGGGUGUGCAGGCGGGCUGGUAAGUGUUGUAUGAAAUCGUCCGGCUCAACCGGGCGAGGUUAUGCCAGACUGGCAGUCUAGAGAGCGAGAGAGGGACGUGGAAUUCCGGGUGUAGUGGUGAAAUGCGUAGAGAUCCGGAGGAACCCCAGAGGCGAAGGCGGCAUCCUGGACCGAGACUGACACUGAGGAGCGAAAGCCAGGGGAGCAAACGGG
rnacentral:rRNA from 1 species